CUGGCUUCCGAUUGGCUGCCCGCGCGGUCCCGCCAGCCUAUAGGAGCGGCGGCGGCCGUUGCGGCGGGGCUGCUGAGCGCGCUGGCAGCUCCGGGCAGAACAUAGCGGGCGGAGUUGAAGCGACCGCCCGAGUGGCCGCUGGAGGGGUGACUCACCCGUUAUGUGAGGAGAGGUGUGCGCACCACGCACGGCGCUUUUUAGGCAGAACGGGGCAGUGAAAGGAAACAGCCAACUUCUGUAUCAACGGAGAAUACCCACCCAGAAGAUAAGUGCUAUCAUUCUGUCUGAUGCUUGGGAAUAAAUUUGCACAAAGAGAAAUUCAGGCCCUGGUUCAUCAAGCAAAACACUUAAGCGUGUGCUCAAGCUCUUUGCCAUAUUGGAGCUUCAGGCCCGACUGGAAUUUGUGCUCCCUUUCCUGAAGAUGUAUCUAUUUCAUUGGGACACUGUACAGAAAAACCUGCUUUUCCUUGGGUUCCAUGAGGAUUAGGCAUCAGAGAGAUGUGAGUCCAAGUUUACUGAAGAAGAAAAGAGAGCCAUCCGAGUUGGAAGCAGAUGCCAUAGAGAUCCGAUCUAAACUGACUGGGGAAAAGAACAUGAGUGACUUAAUUCACACAGACAAGGGAAUAAAACAUGAAUUAACUAAGACAGUGAAGUCCAACAGUGAUAGCAAAACAAUCCUUCCUCAUGUCCUCAUUUCCCAAGCAGUUUCAUCAUCAAAACGAUGAGUAGUUCUCACAGCUGGGAUCCUGUGCUGCCAUGUGCUGUCACAAACAUGUUUCUCUGAAAGUUUUAAAACAACACUUCAGGCUUGCUUAUCCACUCACGCUAAAUUCCAAUAUGUAGGGGAAGAAAGGUAUUAAAUACAGAACAAAAUUACCAAUGCUAUAAAGUACUCUUUCUCACUGUGCCAAUGUUUUCUUUGACCUUUCUGAUGGUGUUAUGAUGUCACUGCUCUGCAGCUUUGGCCUAUUUUCUGCCUAGCCUACACUGGGCUAGAUUUGAUGGAAAUAAACAUCUUACAUAACA
rnacentral:lncRNA from 1 species